GGUGCCUAGGCCUCCUCCUAAGCCAUCUGGUGGUGGUGGUGGUGGUGCUACCACAAAUGCAAAUCCUUCCAAUGGAGUACCAUCUGCUCCACCACUUCCUCCUCCUCCUCCAGGUGCUCCACGGCCGCCGCCUCCGCCAGGUGGUGGACCACCUCCCCCUCCUCCUCCCCCAGGAAGCCUAUCAAGAGGGGGAGUAGAUGGUGACAAAGUUCACAGAGCUCCACAGCUAGUUGAAUUUUAUCAGUCAUUGA
rnacentral:lncRNA from 1 species